CGCGGGGUAGACUAAUAAAAGUCGAUGGGCUCAUAACCCGGAGAUAUGUUUUUCAUUCCUGUGU
rnacentral:tRNA from 2 species